rnacentral:rRNA from 1 species
CGACCUGAGAUCAGACGGGAUUACCCGCUGAAUUAAG